CUCAUAGCGUAUAUUAAUGUUGUUGCAGUUAAAAAGCUCGUAGUUGGAUUCCUGACCUGGGGUAGCCGGUCCGCCUUGCAAAAGGUGCGCACUGAGCGGCCUCGGUCAUCCUUGAGAAGAGCGGUCCUGGCAUUCAGUUGUCGGGGUCGGGAUUCUCGACGUUUACUGUGAAAAAAUCAGAGUGUUCAACGCAGGCUUACGCCUUGAAUACAUUAGCAUGGAAUAAUGAGAUAGGACCUUGGCGGUCUAUUUUGUUGGUUUGCACGCCGAGGUAAUGAUUAAAAGGGACGGUUGGGGUUCUUCGUAUUCAAUUGUCAGAGGUGAAAUUCUUGGAUUUAUGGAAGACGAACUGCUGCGAAAGCGUCGAACAAGGACGUUCUCAUUAAUCAAGAACGAAAGUUAGGGGAUCGAAGAUGAUUAGAUACCAUCGUAGUCUUAACCAUAAACUAUGCCGAUUCAGGAUUGGCGGUCGUUUGUUCUCGACUCCGUCAGCACUGUAUGAGAAAUCAAAAUCUUUGGGUUCCGGGGGGAGUAUGGUCGCAAGGCUGA
rnacentral:rRNA from 1 species